rnacentral:misc_RNA from 1 species
GAUGAAGAACGUAGCGAAAUGCGAUAAGUAAUGUGAAUUGCAGAAUUCAGUGAAUCAUCGAAUCUUUGAACGCACAUUGCGCCCGCUAGUAUUCUGGCGGGCAUGCCUGUUCGAGCGUCAUUUCAACCCUCAGGCCCCCAGUGCCUGGCGUUGGGGAUCGGCCGCUGGCGUCCUUCGGGGCGCCUGGCCGGCCCCGAAAUCUAGUGGCGGACCCGUUACAGGCCCUUCCCUUGCGUAGUAGCAUUCGCCUCGCAUCGGGAGCCGGCGGGCUUCCAGCCUCUAAACCCCCAUCAAGCCCGCCCCGGCGGCACCAAGGUUGACCUCGGAUCAGGUAGGAAUACCCGCUGAACUUAAGCAUAUCAAUAAGCGGAGGA